rnacentral:rRNA from 1 species
UGGGGAAUCUUGCACAAUGGGGGCAACCCUGAUGCAGCGACGCCGCGUGAGCGAUGAAGCCCUUCGGGGCGUAAAGCUCUUUCGACCGGAACGAUAAUGACGGUACCGGGAGAAGAAGCUGCGGCUAACUACGUGCCAGCAGCUGCGGUAAUACGUAGGCAGCAAGCGUUGUUCGGAGUUACUGGGCGUAAAGGGCGCGUAGGCGGCGCAGUAAGGCACUUGUGAAAUCUCUGAGCUUAACUCAGAACGGCCAAGUGAUACUGCUGUGCUAGAGUGCGGAAGAGGCAACCGGAAUUCUUGGUGUAGCGGUGAAAUCCGUAGAUAUCAAGAGGAACACCUGAGGCGAAGGCGGGUUGCUGGGCCGACACUGACGCUGAUGCGCGAAAG